UACGUAGGUGGCAAGCGUUGUCCGGAUUUACUGGGCGUAAAGGGUGAGUAGGCGGUUGUAUAUGUCAGGUGUAAAAGGCUAUGGCUUAACCAUGGUUAGCACUUGAAACUGUACAACUUGAGUGCGGGAGAGGGAAGCGGAAUUCCCGGUGUAGCGGUGAAAUGCGUAGAUAUCGGGAGGAAUACCAGUGGCGAAGGCGGCUUCCCGGCACAAUACUGACGCUCAUGUGCGAAAGCUAGGGCAGCGAACGGGAUUAGAUACCCUCGUAGUCCCUGA
rnacentral:rRNA from 1 species